AUUGAACGCUGGCGGAAUGCUUUACACAUGCAAGUCGAACGGCAGCACGGGGGCAGCCCUGGUGGCGAGUGGCGAACGGGUGAGUAAUACAUCGGAACGUGCCCGGUCGUGGGGGAUAACGUAGCGAAAGUUACGCUAAUACCGCAUACGAUCUGAGGAUGAAAGCGGGGGACCUUCGGGCCUCGCGCGAUCGGAGCGGCCGAUGUCAGAUUAGGUAGUUGGUGGGGUAAAGGCCUACCAAGCCGACGAUCUGUAGCUGGUCUGAGAGGACGACCAGCCACACUGGGACUGAGACACGGCCCAGACUCCUACGGGAGGCAGCAGUGGGAAUUUUGGACAAUGGGCGCAAGCCUGAUCCAGCCAUUCCGCGUGCAGGACGAAGGCCUUCGGGUUGUAAACUGCUUUUGUACGGAACGAAAAGGCUCUGGCUAAUACCUGGGGCUCAUGACGGUACCGUAAGAAUAAGCACCGGCUAACUACGUG
rnacentral:rRNA from 1 species